rnacentral:lncRNA from 1 species
UCUGAUCUAUACUCAUUAUCUUGCCCUAACAGUAUUGCCUUGAGUCACAUAAUUCAUAUUCUUGCAAUAAUUUGGCAUGCAAUGAAUGAAAUAUUGUCUUGUGCUUAAUAUUUCAUUAUUUUGCAAUCUUUGAUGUUGUCAAAAAAAAGAAAAAAAAAUAUAUCUGAGUAUAUGCUCAUAAUGAAGCAUGUUCAUUAUGACUAGUGUCUUCUAGAUUUUGUAUUUGUUUUGACCAGUAUCUACUCUUUGUUAUUGUCUGCAUUUCUUCUCUAGAAUAUUAUACUUUUGGCAAAGAUGAUGAAAUACAUUUUUUCUUUAUUCAUGAUCUUUGAGUCAUUACAAUACUAUCCAUUGCUAUUCAUUCUUUUUGAUGAUGACAAAAAGGGGGAGAAAGUAUAAGAGAGAAACUAGAAGCAAAUUCUAUAAGAAAGAUAAUUCUAUAAACAAAGACUGUAUAAGG